UGCCUCCUACGGGACGCAGCAGUGGGGGAUAUUGGACAAUGGGGGAAACCCUGAUCCAGCGAUGCCGCGUGAGGGAAGAAGGUUUUCGGAUUGUAAACCUCUGUGGACAGGGACGAUAAUGACGGUACCUGUCAAGAAAGCCACGGCUAACUACGUGCCAGCAGCCGCGGUAAUACGUAGGUGGCGAGCGUUGUCCGGAAUUAUUGGGUGUAAAGGGUGCGUAGACGGAAGAACAAGUUGGUUGUGAAAUCCCUCGGCUCAACUGAGGAACUGCAACCAAAACUAUUCUCCUUGAGUGUCGGAGA
rnacentral:rRNA from 1 species